rnacentral:rRNA from 1 species
UACGUAGGGGGGCUAGCGUUGUCCGGAAUCAUUGGGCGUAAAGCGCGCGUAGGCGGUCAGGAAAGUCCGGUGUGAAAGUCAUAGGCUCAACCUAUGGAUGCCGCUGGAAACUGCCUGACUUGAGUCCGGAAGGGGCGAGUGGAAUUCCCGUGUGUAGGUCGAAAUGCGCAGAUAUCAGGGGAGAACCAAGCCGAAGUGCGAAGG